rnacentral:rRNA from 1 species
GCACGCCUGGCCUGUGCAGAUUCCUCGGGCGCGGGACCCUAACCGCGUAAGGUAGCGUGGCACUUGUCUAUUAAUUGUAUACCAGUAUGAAAGGCAAAAUGAGGGACUAACUGUCUCUUAGUCUCUUGAAUUAAACUGAUCUUCUAGUAAAAAAGGUAGAAUACACAGAUUAAACCAGAAGACCCUGUGAAGCUUGAACUAAACUAUUAAACCCUAUAAUAUAUACUUUCGGUUGGCGCGACCUUGGAAAAAAAAAAAACUUCCAAACACACGACUACACUCACACAAGGGACCACAAGCCUAUACAAAUACCCAGUACAACUGAUAAUUGAACCAAGUUACUCCAGGGAUAACAGCGCCAUCUUCUUCAAGAGUCCAUAUCAAAAAGAAGGUUUGCAACCUCCUUGUUGGAUCAGGACAUCCUAAUGGUGCACCCGCUAUUAAGGGUUCGUUUGUUCAACGAACCUCAAUCCUACAUGAUCUGAGUUAGAAGCGGACUAAGGGUUCGUUUGUUCAACGAUUAACAGUCCUACGUGAUCUGA